rnacentral:rRNA from 1 species
UACGUAGGCAGCAAGCGUUGUUCGGAGUUACUGGGCGUAAAGGGCGCGUAGGCGGCCACCGCAAGUCAGUUGUGAAAUCUCUGGGCUUAACCCAGAACGGUCAGCUGAUACUGCGGGGCUAGAGUGCAGAAGGGGCAACUGGAAUUCUCGGUGUAGCGGUGAAAUGCGUAGAUAUCGAGAGGAACACCUGCGGCGAAGGCGGGUUGCUGGGCUGACACUGACGCUGACAGCGCGAAAGCUAGGGGAGCGAACGGG